AUUCCAGCUCCAAUAGCGUAUAUUAAAGUUGUUGCAGUUAAAAAGCUCGUAGUUGGAUUUCUGGUCUGAUGCCCUGGCCCGCGUCCGAUUUCGGAGUGAGUGCCGGCUGUGCGUCUACCAUCCUUCUAGAAAACGGAUCUACCCUUCACUGGGCCGGGUUCGCGAUCUAGAUCUUUUACUUUGAAAAAAUUAGAGUGUUUAAAGCAGGCUUUUGCUAUGAAUACAUUAGCAUGGAAUAAUAAUCUAGGACUUCGGUUCUAUUUUGUUGGUUUCUAGUACUGAAGUAAUGAUUGAUAGGGAUAGUUGGGGGUGCUAGUAUUGGGCGGCCAGAGGUGAAAUUCUUGGAUUCGCUCAAGACUAACUUAUGCGAAAGCAUUCACCAAGGAUGUCUUCAUCA
rnacentral:rRNA from 1 species